AUGGGCUGCAGGCUGCUCUGCUGUGCGGUUCUCUGUCUCCUGGGAGCGGUCCCCAUGGAAACGGGAGUUACGCAGACACCAAGACACCUGGUCAUGGGAAUGACAAAUAAGAAGUCUUUGAAAUGUGAACAACAUCUGGGGCAUAACGCUAUGUAUUGGUACAAGCAAAGUGCUAAGAAGCCACUGGAGCUCAUGUUUGUCUACAACUUUAAAGAACAGACUGAAAACAACAGUGUGCCAAGUCGCUUCUCACCUGAAUGCCCCAACAGCUCUCACUUAUUCCUUCACCUACACACCCUGCAGCCAGAAGACUCGGCCCUGUAUCUCUGUGCCAGCAGCCAAGA